UACAGAGGGUGCGAGCGUUAAUCGGAAUCACUGGGCGUAAAGGGCGCGUAGGCGGCAGGCCAAGCGUGCGGUGAAAGUCCGGGGCUCAACCCCGGAUCUGCCGUGCGGACUGGUUUGCUAGAGCACUGUAGAGGCGAGUGGAAUUCCGGGUGUAGCGGUGGAAUGCGUAGAGAUCCGGAAGAACACCGGUGGCGAAGGCGGCUCGCUGGGCAGUGGCUGACGCUGAGGCGCGACAGCGUGGGGAGCAAACAGG
rnacentral:rRNA from 1 species